GAUGAAGAACGCAGCGAAAUGCGAUAAGUAGUGUGAAUUGCAGAAUUCAGUGAAUCAUCGAAUCUUUGAACGCACAUUGCGCCUCCUGGUAUUCCGGGAGGCAUGCCUGUUCGAGCGUCAUUAAAAUCACUCAAGCUUAGGUUUACCUAUUGCUUGGUCUUGGAGAUGGAAGCCAAUUCAUUGGAAUCCUCUUCGAAAUCCAAUGGCGAAGACCCUUGCUCUCCCAAGUGUAGUAAUAACUUAUGUCACUGAAGGAAGCGAGAAAUCUUCCGCCGUAACCCCCAUAUUUUCUAUGAUUGACCUCGGAUCAGGUAGGGAUACCCGCUGAACUUAAGCAUAUAAUAAGCGGAGGA
rnacentral:misc_RNA from 1 species